CCUACGGGAGGCAGCAGUGGGGAAUAUUGCACAAUGGGGGAAUCCCUGAUGCAGCGACGCCGCGUGAGUGAAGAAGUAUUUCGGUAUGUAAAGCUCUAUCAGCAGGGAAGAGGAAAGACGGUACAUGACUAAGAAGCCCCGGCUAACUACGUGCCAGAAGCCGCGGUAAUACGUAGGGGGCAAGCGUUAUACGGAUUUACUGGGUGUAAGGGGAGCGUAGGCGGCUGGGCAAGGCUGAAGGGAAAGCCCCGGGCUCAACCCGGGGACUGGUUUGGAAACUGGGGGGCUAGAGUGCUGGAGAGGUAAGUGGAAUUCCUGGUGUAGCGGUGAAAUGCGUAGAUAUUAGGAGGAACACCAGUGGCGAAGGCGGCUUACUGGACAGUAACUGACGUUGAGGCUCGAAAGCGUGGGGAGCAAACAGGAUUAGAUACCCGUGUAGUC
rnacentral:rRNA from 1 species